UACGGGGGGUGCGAGCGUUGUCCGGAAUCACUGGGCGUAAAGGGCGCGUAGGUGGUUUGAUAAGGGUGUGGUGAAAGUCCGGAGCUCAACUCCGGAUCUGCCGUGCCGACUGUCAAACUCGAGGGCUGUAGAGGCAGACGGAAUUCCGGGUGUAGCGGUGGAAUGCGUAGAGAUCCGGAGGAAGACCGGUGGCGAAGGCGGUCUGCUGGGGAGUUUCUGACACUGAGGCACGAAAGCGUGGGGAGCAAACAGG
rnacentral:rRNA from 1 species